rnacentral:lncRNA from 1 species
AUAAGGUGUAGAUUAAGGAUGUCAGGAGCCAACUGGGUGCUGUGUGCUAAUUACUUCCAGGGUCUUAUCUCAUUUAAUUCUGCAACAACCUGGUAUUGAGGAUACAAAAGUGACCAGGACUCACCAAACCCCCUGCCUCCCGGGGCCUACAUUCAAGAAAGUAAACACACAAACCGCAUUACACGUCAGACAGUGCUGUGUCCCAUGGAGCAGGGAAAACGCUGACCUCAUGACCUGCACGCGGAAUAUGGGUUGAGGCCUCUAUGAGCUGGGCCUAGGAGGCAGUCUGAAUGGAGUCUCCCUCUGUCGCCCAGGGUGGAAUGCGAUGGCGCUAACUGAAGAAUCUUGCUCUAAAACCUCCUGUGGCUCCCUAGUGCCCUCCAGGCCUAGGUCCCUGUGGGUGGCCCAGCCCUCACCUCACCGUGCUCAAGGUAUCUGUGUCCAGUUCUGCUUCCCCUGACAGUGUGGGGGCUUCGAAAAUGGGGCUGUUUGGUCACUGGGCGGGCACACUGAUACCGGAAGGCGCCUGCCUAAAUAAACACUGGCAGGUGGCCUCCCAGGAGAGGGGGUGUCUGGUCCCCACGGCAGUGGGGGUGGGGUGGCAGGGGUGCUAGCGGCAGGACUGGCUUCAGGGGCAGUCUAGGAACGCAGUCUCUCAGGGCCCUGCAGGAAAAACAAGGGUGUUGCGGUUGGUUGAAGGCUUGGCUGUUACUAAGUAGUAUUAAUCUCUGUUUCUUUGUUUCUUUUUUUUUUGAGACAGAGUUUCGCUCUUGUCGCCCAGGCUGGAGUGC